UUUAGGCUUUCAUACCAGAAACUGGUCGUGGUAUACAAGGUGCAAAGAUGUUUGACAUCACAUUCACAAAUAAAGAAGGAAAAAGUAAAAGGUGUGGCGAAUUCUUGGGCUUAUAGUGCCAUAACGAUUGGAGUGAUGAUAUUGACUUAUGGAGAUGACAAAGGAUUGGUGAAUCCCCCUAACGUUGCACCAAUCCAAGUCAGACUCAGUGAGGAAGGAAAUGGUCUUGAUGUCUGUGAUAGCUAACCAAGAUUGAGCUUAACCGAAGUCUGUGAUAGCUUUGAUCCAAGGGUCUUGAUGUGAUCAAGCAAGCUCAAUCUGGAACACAAAGACAGCUAUGAAAUUUAAAUCCGGCGUUUUGCAACAGCUUGAUUACACUCUUGUCCAGUCCCAAGCUUUUGUUUUUACUCCUACCAUGUAGUGUUAGCUCAUUGCAGUUCACUUUUUUUUUUCCAUAGCAUAUUGUUUAAGUUGUUUGCAUGAAGUUGAUCUUGAAUGUUUGUCUUGCUUUUCUUGUUGGCAUGAAGUUGUUUGACGUCUUCACACAAUACAUAAAUUUCAUAAAUAAUACGAUACAUGGCAUACAUUAUAUUCCAAGAAACAGAAACAAACAAGAAAAUGGUAAAACUGGACAAUAAAGGUAAGCAAGUGGCAACAUUUAGUAGUCAUCACUUACAUAAACUCUCACCGUUAAUUUUGUAGAGUAAAGAGGCAUACAAUCUCGGUAUUUAUGGGUAAGAGAAUGAUAUAAUAAACAAGACAAAAUAACAUAGAUUAGAACCAUGUUGUACUGAUAGAGAAAAGAGGUGAUUUUAUGGAUGAAGAAGAGAGAAACACAAACAAAGAGAAAAAGAUCGUGGGAGGAGGAGGAGGAGGAGAAGAACGUGGAUAAAAUAUUUUCAAAUAUAUUUUGAGAGAUUUAUGUUAGAUUUAGUUUAGAAUUAGAAAACUUCUUUAACUGAAUAUGAAAGUUUCCAUAUUUUCACGGUUUGCCUAGAAUAUGUACACUACCUAAGCAGAACACCGUAUAGUAGGUGAAAAAUGUAUUCUUCAUGUAGGCGUCAUAUAAGGUAAAAGGCAGAACAAGUUAUGUCUCGUAAUAUAACUGACAUAUAUCAUUGAGUUGUGGCUAUAUAUCGUUAUCGAGCUGUAGGUAUACCGAAUACAUCUUUCUUGAUUAUAACGUAACUGAUUCUAUCUUUGCUAGAAUAUACAAGAAAAGUUAGUUUACGGUAUAUACCCUUGAUAUAUCUAUGUUUAAAACUUAGAAUCAGACAUAUAAACUAGGUAGAUUACCAGAAUGAGUAUUCUAAUUGUAGCUAGAAGAUAAAAUAAAAUAUGAUUUCAAUUUUUUUU